GCUUAACACAUGCAAGUCGAGGGGCAGCAUGGUCUUAGCUUGCUAAGACUGAUGGCGACCGGCGCACGGGUGAGUAACACGUAUCCAACCUGCCGUCUACUCUUGGACAGCCUUCUGAAAGGAAGAUUAAUACAAGAUGGCAUCAUGAGUCCGCAUGUUCACAUGAUUAAAGGUAUUCCGGUAGACGAUGGGGAUGCGUUCCAUUAGAUAGUAGGCGGGGUAACGGCCCACCUAGUCUUCGAUGGAUAGGGGUUCUGAGAGGAAGGUCCCCCACAUUGGAACUGAGACACGGUCCAAACUCCUACGGGAGGCAGCAGUGAGGAAUAUUGGUCAAUGGGCGAGAGCCUGAACCAGCCAAGUAGCGUGAAGGAUGACUGCCCUAUGGGUUGUAAACUUCUUUUAUAAAGGAAUAAAGUCGGGUAUGGAUACCCGUUUGCAUGUACUUUAUGAAUAAGGAUCGGCUAACUCCGUGCCAGCAGCCGCGGUAAUACGGAGGAUCCGAGCGUUAUCCGGAUUUAUUGGGUUUAAAGGGAGCGUAGAUGGAUGUUUAAGUCAGUUGUGAAAGUUUGCGGCUCAACCGUAAAAUUGCAGUUGAUACUGGAUAUCUUGAGUGCAGUUGAGGCAGGCGGAAUUCGUGGUGUAGCGGUGAAAUGCUUAGAUAUCACGAAGAACUCCGAUUGCGAAGGCAGCCUGCUAAGCUGCAACUGACAUUGAGGCUCGAAAGUGUGGGUAUCAAACAGGAUUAGAUACCCUGGUAGUCCACACGGUAAACGAUGAAUACUCGCUGUUUGCGAUAUACUGCAAGCGGCCAAGCGAAAGCGUUAAGUAUUCCACCUGGGGAGUACGCCGGCAACGGUGAAACUCAAAGGAAUUGACGGGGGCCCGCACAAGCGGAGGAACAUGUGGUUUAAUUCGAUGAUACGCGAGGAACCUUACCCGGGCUUAAAUUGCAGAUGAAUUACGGUGAAAGCCGUAAGCCGCAAGGCAUCUGUGAAGGUGCUGCAUGGUUGUCGUCAGCUCGUGCCGUGAGGUGUCGGCUUAAGUGCCAUAACGAGCGCAACCCUUGUUGUCAGUUACUAACAGGUUCCGCUGAGGACUCUGACAAGACUGCCAUCGUAAGAUGUGAGGAAGGUGGGGAUGACGUCAAAUCAGCACGGCCCUUACGUCCGGGGCUACACACGUGUUACAAUGGGGGGUACAGAGGGCCGCUACCACGCGAGUGGAUGCCAAUCCCCAAAACCCCUCUCAGUUCGGACUGGAGUCUGCAACCCGACUCCACGAAGCUGGAUUCGCUAGUAAUCGCGCAUCAGCCACGGCGCGGUGAAUACGUUCCCGGGCCUUGUACACACCGCCCGUCAAGCCAUGGGAGCCGGGGGUACCUGAAGUGCGUAACCGCGAGGAGCGCCCUAGGGUAAAACUGGUGACUGGGGCUAAGUC
rnacentral:rRNA from 1 species